rnacentral:rRNA from 1 species
UACGGAGGGUGCAAGCAUUAAUCGGAAUGACUGGGUGUAAAGGGCGCGUAGGCGGUAAGAUGAGUGUGAUGUGAAAGCCCCGGGCUUAACCUGGGAAGUGCAUCGCAAACGAUACGACUGGAGUAUAUGAGAGGGUGGCGGAAUUUCCGGUGUAGCGGUGAAAUGCGUAGAGAUCGGAAGGAACGUCAAUGGCGAAGGCAGCCACCUGGCAUAAUACUGACGCUGAGGCGCGAAAGCGUGGGGAGCGAACAGG